rnacentral:tRNA from 1 species
GUAGUCGUGGCCAAGUGGUUAAGGCGAAGGACUUGAAAUCUAUUGGGGUCUCCCCACGCAGGUUCAAAUCCUGCCAACUACG